rnacentral:rRNA from 1 species
AAAUUGAAGAGUUUGAUCAUGGCUCAGAUUGAACGCUGGCGGCAGGCCUAACACAUGCAAGUCGAACGGUAACAGGAAGCAGCUUGCUGCUUCGCUGACGAGUGGCGGACGGGUGAGUAAUGUCUGGGAAACUGCCUGAUGGAGGGGGAUAACUACUGGAAACGGUAGCUAAUACCGCAUAACGUCGCAAGACCAAAGAGGGGGACCUUCGGGCCUCUUGCCAUCGGAUGUGCCCAGAUGGGAUUAGCUUGUUGGUGGGGUAACGGCUCACCAAGGCGACGAUCCCU